rnacentral:rRNA from 1 species
CCUUUGUACACACCGCCCGUCGCUACUACCGAUUGAAUGGCUCAGUGAGGCUUUCGGACUGGCCCAGGAAGAGUGGCAACGACCACUCAGGGCCGGAAAGUUAUCCAAACUCGGUCAUUUAGAGG